UGGGGAAUAUUGCACAAUGGGCGCAAGCCUGAUGCAGCAACGCCGCGUGAACGAUGAAGGUCUUCGGAUCGUAAAGUUCUGUUGCAGGGGAAGAUAAUGACGGUACCCUGUGAGGAAGCCCCGGCUAACUACGUGCCAGCAGCCGCGGUAAUACGUAGGGGGCUAGCGUUAUCCGGAUUUACUGGGCGUAAAGGGUGCGUAGGUGGUCUUUCAAGUCGGUGGUUAAAGGCUACGGCUCAACCGUAGUUAGCCUCCGAAACUGGAAGACUUGAGUGCAGGAGAGGAAAGUGGAAUUCCCAGUGUAGCGGUGAAAUGCGUAGAGAUUAGGAGGAACACCGGUGGCGAAGGCGACUUUCUGGCCAUAAACUGACGCUGAGGUACGAAAGCGUGGGUAGCAAACAGG
rnacentral:rRNA from 1 species